rnacentral:rRNA from 1 species
UACGGAGGGGACUAGCGUUGUUCGGAAUUACUGGGCGUAAAGCGCACGUAGGCGGAUUUGUAAGUCAGGGGUGAAAUCCCGAGGCUCAACCUCGGAACUGCCUUCGAUACUGCGGUCUCGAGUCCGGGAGAGGUGAGUGGAAUUCCUAGUGUAGAAGGUGAAAUUCGUAGAUAGUUAGGAAGAACACCAGUGGCGGAAGG